CGCUAAGAAGCUAAAUAGGACAUAGCGUUAGCCUUUUAAGCUAAAGACUGGUGAUUCCCGACCACCCCUAGCGA
rnacentral:tRNA from 2 species